CCUACGGGUGGCAGCAGUGAGGAAUAUUGGUCAUUGGACGCUAGCCUGAACCAGCCAAGUAGCGUGAAGGAUGACUGCCCUAUGAGUUGUAAACUUCUUUUAUAUGGGAGUAAAGUGCAGUAUGUAUACUUCUUUGCAUGUACCUUAUGAAUAAGGAUCGGCUAACUCCGUGCCAGCAGCCGCGGUAAUACGGAGGAUCCGAGCGUUAUCCGGCUUUAUUGGGUUUAAAGGGUGCGUAGGCGGGUUGGUAAGUUAGUUGUGAAAGUCUGGGGCUCAACCGUAAAAUUGCAGUUGAUACUGGACGCCUUGAGUACAGUAGAGGUAGGCGGAAUGCGUGGUGUAGCGGUGAAAUGCUUAGAUAUCACGAAGAACUCCGAUUGCGAAGGCAGCCUGCUGGACUGUAACUGACGCUGAUGCUCGAAAGUGUGGGUAGCAAACAGGAUUAGAUACCCCAGUAGUC
rnacentral:rRNA from 1 species